rnacentral:lncRNA from 1 species
AGAGUUUCUGAGCACUCAGGGACUGGCUAGGAAUGAUUUAUAGUGGGGCUGAGGGUAAAAGAGGUUGCGCUCCUGUCUCGCUCCCGAGCUUGGAAAGGGAAGGACUUGGGAAGAGCGGCAUCUUCCUCAAACACGAGACUUAGUUUCCCCAGUCCUACUACAUUCAUCGACUCCUUUUCUGUGAGCCUCAGACUGAGGCUGGAGGCCACCUUUGUCGGUUUUCAGGUCUCUCCCAUGAGAUGGAGAAGCCCUUCAGAUUCCUAGACUUGUAGAGGGCAACACUUUUUAUUACAAUAAAAACAUAUAACAAAACG